AGGCAGUACAGGGUUCUUAGACAUGCAGGGAACCUUUAGAACAAAUGCCCGAAGGCGUGACCAAGACAACGAAGGAAAGUUCAAAGGUUUAUUAAACACAGUUCAGAGGAAUACUGAUUACUUGGUACAGGUAACAGGAAUCACAGUUCAGAGAAAUACUUGGGAUCGAUGACGGAACACCGAUGGUGACUUGGAAUCUAUGACGGAACACCGAUGGUUACUUUGGGAUCGAUGGCGGAACACCGAUGGUUACUGGAGAUCGAUGGCGGAACACCGAUGGAGACUUGGGAUCGAUGGCGGAACACCGAUGGAGACUUGGGAUCGAUGGCGGAACACCGAUGGAGACUUGGGAUCGAUGGCGGAACACCGAUGGUUACUGGCAGGGCAGAGCACUGCUGGAAGCUGGUGUCAGGUAACUGCCAGUCACAGGGAGCAAUGUAGACACUGCAGAGUCAGGCUGUACUGCAGAGAAAGUCCAUGGAAGAACUGCACACUGGAAUCACUGUAGACAAUUGAAGCACUGACAUCUUUCCACCCCAGGAACAAGAUAUUUAUACCAGCUGGGAAACAGGGAUUGGCUGGCUGAUUAAGCAGAGUCUAGAGUGCAGCUGCUGGGUAAUUAGGUAGAAACCAGAGUGCAGCUGAUUGGCUGAAAAGUAACAUGUGAUGAAAACAAACAUGGCUGCGCCCAUGUUUGAACUUGGAGGGAAAGACUGUUUGUAACUUGCAUGUGAGCUUUAACCAUGAAGCUGCCAGAAUCACAGUAAAGAGUUUAGAGACCAUGAGAUGCAGCGUGCUGCAUGCAGACAGUGCAGAUGGAAUCCAGGCUUGGAACACUGGGACAGUCUCAGGAGGCAUUUGGAAGAAGAGCCAGAAGAAGUUGUGGAAACUCCAAAGAAGACAAAUAUUAAAGAAGAACCAUUGGACCCAUAUGAGUAAGAGCCUUCAACAAGCACAGCUGAGCCUUCCAAGAAGAAGAAGAAGAUAGAGAAGAUUAAUCAGGAUGAAGAGGAGGACUGAGCACUUUUCCUUUAUGAACUGAUGACCCUUUUGCUUGGUUUUACAGCACUUUUCCAUAUGUGUGGAAAGGUGCCUUUAUAUUAGUAUGACGUUCUGUCCAUAUCCAGAAAGCAGAAAUCAGCAAUUGAUUUUUGUAAUAAGCCAAUGACGGUUGUCUUGUACGAUGGAGACUUAGCCGCUGACUGUGUGUAUACAUUGGUUACACUUUCCUAUCCAAAUACACUGUUGUAACCAUAAUCAUUGUGGUGUCGUUCAUUUACAGAUUGCAUUCCAUGCCAGUUUCCAGCUGGAUAGAUACAAUAUAAAGUACAAAUACCUCUGCAAUUGAA